AACACUUUGUGAAAUACGACUGCAAAGUAUCUUUACCGAUUUCUCCCAUAACAAGUUAUCAAGGGAUGAAGCUGUUAACAAACUACGAGGUGAUGUAACACAGAAAUUAAUGCAGGGAUUUCCAGGCACGGAUUCAUUGAUUGCAAAUGAAGUUUUCUCAAGAACAGCAAAAAAUGUUUUUAGAAACCUAAUUUUGGAUGAGGAUAUAAGAUGCGAUGGAAGAUCCCUUCAUGAUAUGCGAAUGAUCAGCUGUGAAGUUGACCUUUAUCGCACCUUACAUGGUUCUGCCCUCUUUCAGCGAGGCCAGACACAAGUCCAGUGCACAGUAGCAUUUGAUGCGCCAGAAAAUAUACCUAAAUUAGACCCAUUAUUGGAGGCAACAGGGGGACACAAAGACAGAAAUUUUAUUCUACAUUACACCUUCCCAUCAUUUGCUACAAAUGAAGUCUCAAGAAGUGGCCCUGUGUCACGGAGGGAAGUUGGCCAUGGGGCAUUGGCAGAAAAAGCUCUACGCCCACUUCUUCCAACAAACUUCCCUUUUGCAAUCCUUCUCACAUCCACUGUCAUGGAGUCUAAUGGUUCCUCAUCUAUGGCAACUGUUUGUGGUGGAAGUCUUGCCCUUAUGGAUGCUGGCGUGAAUCUGUCUUCUCCAGCAGCAGGGGUUGCUGUAGGGCUUGUAACACGUUAUAAUACCAGUGAACAGCUUCAGGAAUACAAGAUUUUGACUGAUAUACUGGGUAUAGAAGACUAUAUGGGAGAUAUGGACUUCAAACUUGCAGGAACUCAUAAAGGCAUUACAGCUCUCCAGGCAGAUGUGAAAGUUCCGGGAAUUCCUCUUAAAGUAGUUAUGGAGGCCAUACAGCAAGGCACAGAGGCUAAAGGUGCUGUCCUAGCCAUUAUGAGAGAAACAUUAGCCCAGCCAUGUGAACAGAACAAGGAAACAAUGCCAGCUCUAGAGAAAAUAGUUGUGCCACCAAAUAAGAGGAGUAGGGUCAUGGGCCCUGGUGGUAUCAAUAUUCGCAAGUUGCAGUCUGAGACAGGAGUUCAGCUACAAUUGUUGAGUUGAGGCCCCAGGGGGUUAUGGUAACUCUUUAUGAUGACAUGCCACCUGUCUUACUCCAUAAUUCUCAGUUGGACACUAGAAAGAUCCAGCAUCCUAGUGUUCUUAGUCUUGAAGCUGGCCAGCAAAUCAAGGUUAAAUAUUAUGGCAGAGAUCCAGCCUCAGGUCACAUGAGGAUCUCUCGACGAGCACUCCAGGCUUCCAACAUAGUUGCAAGAAAUCUG
rnacentral:misc_RNA from 1 species